rnacentral:rRNA from 1 species
AACGAACGCUGGCGGCAUGCCUAACACAUGCAAGUCGAACGAGACCUUCGGGUCUAGUGGCGCCCGGGUGCGUAACGCGUGGGAACCUUCCCUUAGGUUCGGAAUAACUCCCCGAAAGGGGUGCUAAUACCGGAUAAUGUCUUCGGACCAAAGAUUUAUCGCCCUUGGUUGUGCCCGCGUUGGAUUAGCUCGUUGGUAGGGUAAAAGCCUACCAAGGCGACCAUUCAUAGCUGGUCUGAGAGGAUGAUCAGCGACACUGGGACUGAGACGCGGCCCAGACUCCUACGGGAGGCAGGAGUGGGGAAUAGUGGACAAUGGGGGAAAGGCUGAUCCAGCAAUGCCGCGUGAGUGAUGAAGGCCGUAGGGUUGUAAAGCUCUUUUAACCGGGAUGAUAAUGACAGUACCGGGAGAAUAAGCUCCGGCUAACUCCGUG